rnacentral:tRNA from 1 species
GUCUGUGUAGAUUAUGAAGAUCAUAGUGCUGUUAACCCUAAGGAGGAGGUUGAUUGCCCCCACAGGCG